rnacentral:rRNA from 1 species
UUAAUUGAAGAGUUUGAUCAUGGCUCAGAUUGAACGCUGGCGGCAGGCCUAACACAUGCAAGUCGAGCGGCAGCGACUUAACUGAACCUUCGGGGAACGUUAAGGGCGGCGAGCGGCGGACGGGUGAGUAAUGCCUGGGAAUAUGCCCUGAUGUGGGGGAUAACUAUUGGAAACGAUAGCUAAUACCGCAUAAUCUCUUCGGAGCAAAGAGGGGGACCUUCGGGCCUCUCGCGUCAGGAUUAGCCCAGGUGGGAUUAGCUUGUUGGUGAGGUAAUGGCUCACCAAGGCAACGAUCCCUAGCUGGUCUGAGAGGAUGAUCAGCCACACUGGAACUGAGACACGGUCCAGACUCCUACGGGAGGCAGCAGUGGGGAAUAUUGCACAAUGGGGGAAACCCUGAUGCAGCCAUGCCGCGUGUGUGAAGAAGGCCUUCGGGUUGUAAAGCACUUUCAGUAGGGAGGAAGGUAGUGUAGUUAACACCUGCA